rnacentral:rRNA from 1 species
AUGCCGCCACCACUCGUCGUCAAUGACGCGGUAGAUACAACGCCGCACCACCUGGCAACCUCCACACCAUCGCCACUGCUGGAGCUACUCGGAGCCCACCAUCCACAACAUCUCUCCCCCGAACAGCAGUUCCUCCCAAGACGGCGCCUCCAUGGAGGAUACGACGCGCAGGACGCCGCCGCCGCCCAAUCCAGACUGAAUUUUGGACUUUCGUCCGGGAGGGGUUCGGGGGUGGAUAGGGGGGACCUCGGCUUCGCCUCCAGGAAGGGUAACGGCGUCAAGUGA